AGACUUUACCUCAGUACAGGCAUCCACCAAUUGAUCUUUUCCAGCUGCUCGAAAGCCACACCCACGUGAUUAGCCAUUGGUUACCUGCCUGUAAAUAUCCAUAAUUGCCCCACCCUUACAAGCACAAGGUAUGUAACUAAGGGAUGUUGCUGUUUUGUAAGAGUUAAGCUCACGGGCUGCAGCAUAUGUCAUUUUUGACAGGUUUUAUUUUCAAGUGUGUGGGAGGGGCAGAGGGAGUGGUUGGAGGGGGAGCGGAAGAGGGAGAGAGACGUCACGCAGACUGAGCGAGAUCAGAGGUGGAGGGGGGGGACAGAAGAGUGAGAGAGACGCUGACGAUGGAAACAGCAGAGGGAGAGAGAGGACGUGGGGAAGUGACAAGUGAGGCAGACAGGCAGGAAGAUAAACUGCAGGAGCUGCAGCCAGACCGGUGAUUUCCUUCUCCCCAAACUGGACCCCAAUACUCACUGGUGAUUCUGUAACUCUGAGCUGUAACGGGGCCCCUCCUGCACAAGGGAAUGAGAAAUAUUCCUGGUACAGAGACAAUAACCCAAUACCAGGAGAGGAACAGAAGAACUAUAUUAUCCAGAGGGCCCAGAGAGAACACAGUGGGAGGUACAAGUGUCAGAUCAGUGAGAGAAGUGUUGCCCUCCAGCUGACAGUUAGUGAUGAUAAAGUCGUCCUGCAGGCGCCCCCUGGUGUCCAUGAGGGGGAGGGACUGACUCUCAGAUGUUACACUCGCCCUGAAUAUAAAAAAACAAACACAUUAGUUUUUUACAAGAACAAUUCAACCAUUCAGUCUCUGGGCUCAGACUAUUUAGUGCUUGGGAGAGCACAGACACAUAUGUCGGGUUCAUACAGAUGUAGAACAGAAAUAUAUGAUAAGUCUGUGGGUUACACUAUCAAUUACACAUCUGCUGAGGAACAUCUUUCAGUCACAGAUCACUGAUGACCAUCAAUAUGGAUUCUCCUGAUUGCUGUCAUAAUUUUUGUUCUUUUUACCAGGCCUGUCUAGCCUUUUCAUGUCGAAAAAUAAAUUUUUUUACGUUGACCCUCA